GACGAACGCUGGCGGCGUGCUUAACACAUGCAAGUCGAACGGAAAGGCCCUGCUUUUGUGGGGUGCUCGAGUGGCGAACGGGUGAGUAACACGUGAGUAACCUGCCCUUGACUUUGGGAUAACUUCAGGAAACUGGGGCUAAUACCGGAUAGGAGCUCCUGCUGCAUGGUGGGGGUUGGAAAGUUUCGGCGGUUGGGGAUGGACUCGCGGCUUAUCAGCUUGUUGGUGGGGUAGUGGCUUACCAAGGCUUUGACGGGUAGCCGGCCUGAGAGGGUGACCGGCGACAUUGGGACUGAGAUACGGCCCAGAGUCGUACGGGGGGCAGCAGUGGGGAGUAUUGCACAGUGGGCGGAAGCCUGAUGCAGCAACGCCGCGUGCGGGAUGACGGCCUUCGGGUUGUAAACCGCUUUCGCCUGUGACGAAGCGUGAGUGACGGUAAUGGGUGAAGAAGCACCGGCUAACUACGUG
rnacentral:rRNA from 1 species